rnacentral:rRNA from 1 species
AGUGCGGCGCUACCAUGCAGUCGAGCGGAUGAAGAGAGCUUGCUCUCUGAUUCAGCGGCGGACGGGUGAGUAAUGCCUAGGAAUCUGCCUGGUAGUGGGGGACAACGUCUCGAAAGGGACGCUAAUACCGCAUACGUCCUACGGGAGAAAGCAGGGGACCUUCGGGCCUUGCGCUAUCAGAUGAGCCUAGGUCGGAUUAGCUAGUUGGUGAGGUAAUGGCUCACCAAGGCGACGAUCCGUAACUGGUCUGAGAGGAUGAUCAGUCACACUGGAACUGAGACACGGUCCAGACUCCUACGGGAGGCAGCAGUGGGGAAUAUUGGACAAUGGGCGAAAGCCUGAUCCAGCCAUGCCGCGUGUGUGAAGAAGGUCUUCGGAUUGUAAAGCACUUUAAGUUGGGAGGAAGGGCAGUAAAUUAAUACUUUGCUGUUUUGACGUUACCGACAGAAUAAGCACCGGCUAACUCUGUGCCAGCAGCCGCGGUAAUACAGAGGGUGCAAGCGUUAAUCGGAAUUACUGGGCGUAAAGCGCGCGUAGGUGGUUUGUUAAGUUGGAUGUGAAAUCCCCGGGCUCAACCUGGGAACUGCAUUCAAAACUGACAAGCUAGAGUAUGGUAGAGGGUGGUGGAAUUUCCUGUGUAGCGGUGAAAUGCGUAGAUAUAGGAAGGAACACCAGUGGCGAAGGCGACCACCUGGACUGAUACUGACACUGAGGUGCGAAAGCGUGGGGAGCAAACAGGAUUAGAUACCCUGGUAGUCCACGCCGUAAACGAUGUCAACUAGCCGUUGGGAGCCUUGAGCUCUUAGUGGCGCAGCUAACGCAUUAAGUUGACCGCCUGGGGAGUACGGCCGCAAGGUUAAACUCAAAUGAAUUGACGGGGGCCCGCACAAGCGGUGGAACAUGUGGUUUAAUUCGAAGCACGCGAAGAACCUUACCAGGCCUUGAAUCCAAUGAAUUUCUCAAAAAGGAUUGGUGCCUCCGGAAAUUUAAACAGGGCUGCUGGCUUCCCCACCCCCGCCCGGAAAGUUGGGUUAUUCCCCUACAAGAGCA